AUUGAACGCUGGCGGCAUGCCUUACACAUGCAAGUCGAACGGUAGAGUAGCAAUACUCGAGAGUGGCGAACGGGUGAGUAAUAUAUCGGAACGUGCCCAGUCGUGGGGGAUAACGUAGAGAAAUUUACGCUAAUACCGCAUACGAUCUACGGAUGAAAGCGGGGGACUCGCAAGAGCCUCGCGCGAUUGGAGCGGCUGAUAUCAGAUUAGGUUGUUGGUGAGGUAAAAGCUCACCAAGCCGACGAUCUGUAGCUGGUUUGAGAGAACGACCAGCCACACUGGGACUGAGACACGGCCCAGACUCCUACGGGAGGCAGCAGUGGGGAAUUUUGGACAAUGGGCGAAAGCCUGAUCCAGCAAUGCCGCGUGUGGGAAGAAGGCCUUCGGGUUGUAAACCACUUUUGUACGGAACGAAACGCCUCGCUUUAAUACAGUGGGGUAAUGACGGUACCGUAAGAAUAAGCACCGGCUAACUACGUGCCAGCAGCCGCGGUAAUACGUAGGGUGCGAGCGUUAAUCGGAAUUACUGGGCGUAAAGCGUGCGCAGGCGGUUAUAUAAGACAGUUGUGAAAUCCCCGGGCUCAACCUGGGAAUUGCAUCUGUGACUGUAUAGCUAGAGUACGGUAGAGGGGGAUGGAAUUCCGCGUGUAGCAGUGAAAUGCGUAGAUAUGCG
rnacentral:rRNA from 1 species